UUUUUUUAAAUUUUUUUUGAUAAACCCUAUCCGCUGAUCCAGUCAAUUUCGGUAGAAACGCACCAAAAUACUUUAAAGUGGACUUCUCCCCGAAAGACCACCACACUGUCUGUCCCGAGUUUGGAAUGCUUUCAAAUGUGAUUUUUUU
rnacentral:sRNA from 1 species